rnacentral:rRNA from 1 species
CUACGGGAGGCUGCAGUGAGGAAUUUUGCGCAAUGGGGGAAACCCUGACGCAGCAACGCCGCGUGAGUGAUGAAGGCCUUCGGGUCGUAAAGCUCUGUCAAGUGGGAAGAACCUACCUAUGGGUAAUAUUCAUGGGUACUGACGGUACCACUGAAGGAAGCACCGGCUAACUCCGUGCCAGCAGCCGCGGUAAUACGGGGGGUGCGAGCGUUAUUCGGAAUUAUUGGGCGUAAAGGGCGCGUAGGCGGUCUUGUUAGUCAGAUGUGAAAGCCCGGGGCUCAACCCCGGAAGUGCAUUUGAUACUGCAAGACUUGAGUAUGGGAGAGGGAAGUGGAAUUCCUGGUGUAGAGGUGAAAUUCGUAGAUAUCAGGAGGAACAUCUGUGGCGAAGGCGACUUCCUGGACCAAUACUGACGCUGAGGCGCGAAGGCGUGGGUAGCAAACAGGAUUAGAUACCCCCGUAGUC